CCGGGCCCUAGAGGACAUCCUGGCCCUGACCAGACCCUGGGUGUGUUUGCUGAGAGGUCUGCUGCUUGAGGGCAUUGGGCACAGAUGUGGAAACUGAGGCUUUCUGGAUUCCUCCACAGAAGUCCUGGGAGCCACUUGUUCAGGAUCCAGGAGCCUGUGUCCCUAACAGAGACUCGGAAGAGGCAGGCCAGCGGGGAGACUGUAGCCCCGGCGCCGACGCUGGUCUUCAGGCUGCACCGCGCAUUCAUCCUCGCCCUCCCUGCUCUGUUCUAGAUCCCCUGAGCCCGGGCUAGCGCCCUGCCCUAUUGGGGGCUUGCCUGUGGGCUCCCCUGACUGUUAGCCCUGGAGAGUCUGGGGCCCAGGUCGCCGUGUCCCUUCCAGGCUGCCCUUGCCAUGUCGCCGUACAAACCGGGCAAAGGUGCUCCACGAGGCACCGGCUCAUCUUCCCGGCUGGUCCUUUGGCACAAGAAGCCCAAGUGUGGCAUCGGCGUGGCUUAGAGUUCAGUGGAGCUCGUACCGUGUCCCCGGGGGCAGCUCUAGCAGAGCCCUGAGCUGCACGGACAGGAAACACAGAUGCCCCAAAUGUGUCUGGGGAGUGACAGUAAACGUGGCCACUCCUGCUCCCUCCUCUUCGUUCUCGGACCCACAUGUUCUAUCCAGUGGGGACACAGAAUGAUGCAAAGGUCACUGAGUGAGAGCGUGUGCUGCGUCCCGGGAGGCUCUGCGGUGGCCGGGCCAUGCCAUCCCUCUAGCAGGUGGCAGCCUCCGAGCGCCCUCAUCUGCAGCAUGAGCACAUGCCACCGUCCUCGCCCCCCUCCAGCUCCGCCUUUCCCGUCACGCAGGUCCUUGGUCCGACGUGACGUUACACGGGGUCCCAUGUCAGCGGACUGAGUCCUGUGAGCUCUCCGAUGCUCACGGAGGCCCUGUGGCAAGAAAAGGCAACUCCCACCCAUAAUAUUUCUCAGUUCCUGUCAAAAGUCAUCAUCGCCUCCUCCGGAAGGGAAGAGGUCCAGGGUAGUUGGCUUGCUUCUCGGAGACUGAUGGGUUUCUCCUAGGGGUGCCUCCGUCCCGGGGACGCACCAUUGAUCCUUCCUGCUGGCAGGUUGGACAUCCAGCGAUGGCGUCGGCUGGGCCAGAGGUGGAAGUGGACCGACGUCAUCUUCUAGGGCAUGUGCAGCCAGUAAUAUGACGGAGACUUGUGGCCAGAAGGGGUGAGAAGAGGGAUGGGUCUCCACCAAGUCCCCAAGGCCGCGUUCAUCUAGCAAGGACCAUACUUCGCACGGGGCUCGCAGCUGGGCCAACGACUUUGCUGAGCUGGUACCCAUCCAUGCCACCGUCCGAGACCCACCACCAGACAGUCCUGGGAUCAGGUGGGCAAACUGGUUGGAGAUGCAUCAGGGACCACCACUCCCACAUCCUUUUGGCCCUUCAUGGUACAUCUGUGCCAUCAUCCUGUGUGCGAUAUUGUUUUUGUUUUUUAUUUUUUUGGCCCAGUGGGGGUUGUACCAACUACCAAAUAGGUCUAUUUGAGUUCUUCAUUGAAGAACCCGGGAAAUAACCACUGGGGAGCCUGGAGAGGCCCACAGACCCAGGGAGCCACACUCAGGUCAGGACCCCAAUUACUACCUGCCCCCCAUCAGCCUCAUUCCCCCAGUGGAAUCAUCCAGUCUUCAGAGCGUCAACUCGCACCCUGUGUCCAGCAGCCUUCCACGUGACUGGGUGUUCUUUUCCCAUGUAAGGAUACUCUGUUGUUGCCCUUUCACUCCUCUGGGGAAGGACUGGUGUCGUGACAUGUACAGUCAUGGUGGCCCAAGGUCCUUCUUCCUGGA